GUUUCAUUAAAUCUAAUUUAAUGCUUUUUAAUGCCAAUUUUUAAUGCUCUCUCUCUCUCUCUCUAUAUAUAUAUUUGUUAAAAGUCGAUAGAUGACGUCAGGCAGUUAGAAUAUUCAUUGUCAUUACGUUGCAUUCACAUUCUGCCAAGUGUCAGCCCUUUAUUUGCUUUUGUUUGCUUCUCUGCUACUACUCUUUGUGCUCACAUGAUGUAUUUUAAUGCAGACAAAAUCCCAAUAAAACUAUUUAAUCUAUUUAUUUUUCUUUUUGUUGUCAGACAAUAUGAAAUAGUGUCCAUUAAGACUACAUGCAGGGCUCGACAUUAAGCAUUGUCAUGUGCUUGACCUAUGGAGAAGUAAAUCGGUCAUUUACUUGAGUAAACUAAGUUGCUUGUCCAGAAAAAAAUAGGAUUUUUGUGUGGUGUAAAUAUAAAUUUAUUCUGAAGCAAUAUUCUUUCAUUCAGACUAUUAUUUUAGUUUUGACAUAUUUAAAUCUGCAUAUUUGUGAUAUUUACCCCAAUUUUUUUUUUUAACCUUUAUAAGGGGCGAAUAAUUAGAAUAAUGCCACACUACAGGGCUAUCAAAUCAAAUUAAAUGAUUUACAAUAAAAAAAAUAAAUUACAACUGCAUUAAAUAAAGUUAUUGGGCCUCUGUCCAAAACAGCGUUACGGAAAUUUUGCACUGGCCGGAGGCAAUAGAGUACCUCAAGGAUGACGUGUUUUUGUAGGCAAAACCCGGAAGAGAGUUAGCAUUUUAGGACUUUCGGUUCCAUCGCCCUUAAGUCAAUGGGUUUUUUGAACGGGUUUUUGCUAAAUCUCCUGAAAUAAGGUCUGUGGUUAACAAAGCCUCUAAAUAUUUUCACGUUUUGAUCUAUGACAUAAAACACACCAGUUAAAACCCGCUUGUGAUUUUUUAAACCUUUAUUGUGUCUUAAAAACGGCGGUUGCUAACAAAUCGCUAAAAGGGACUACUUCCUUUGGCGGGGACUUUAGACGUCAUCAUGACAAACAGGACAUUUGGACAGCAUUUCUCAUGAAAAAGUGGAUAAGUAUUCAUACACAGCGCAGAUCAUAAUCAGCGAGCAUGUUUUUAAAUAAAGUUGUUUUGUAAAUAAAGUUUGAGGAAGCUUGGUGUGACAUUGAUCCGCGACCAUGGUGUGCUGUAGUCCGUUUAUAGCCUACUGUUAGCUUUUUAUAUCUGACCGCUUUAUUUAGGCUUCAAAAUGUGUAAAUGUUGUGUUAACUUAUAAAGAUUAUCUUGAUAGACAAAAAGUGUAAGUGUCAUAACCCUUUGUUAAACACAGAGCUUAUUUUUUGCGCUUUUCCAAAAGUCUAUGGGAAAAAUGUAGGUAGUUCUUUUUCGAGGGAACCCGUGCGCCGCUAACUUCCGGGUUGGCCUACAAAAACACGUCAUCCCUGAGAUGAGUCAGUACGAGGAUCUUCUGAUCUGUUCAGAGUUCAGAUGGGAGAAAACAUCAUUCUGAACUGCAGCAUGAGAAACAGAUAUGAAGUGUCCUGGUAUCAUCUCAGAUCUGAAGAGCUCGUUCUACUCAUUUCUGCUGUUAAGGACAAAACUGGAAGAAAACUUCUGAUCAACUACAAUCAAAACAGCACUCGUCUGAAAAUGACAGCAGACACUUGGAUCACCAGAGUUUCUUUAACUAUUUCUGGAGUAUCAGAGUCAGAUUCUGGUCUUUAUUUCUGUGGAACAAAGUCUGACGCUCCAGAGAUGCACUUCGACAAACCCUUCAGACUGGAGAUUGAGGGUCUUUCAGAGACGAAAGCAGAAGAUGAAAUCACAGAUGAGGUGACGGUGAUGGAGCGUGUGCUGAUGUUCGGUGGUGUUGGACUGGUUGUGUUUGUGUUUUUUCUGACUACAGUUGUUGCAGGAGGAAUCAUUUACCAUCGUGGACAGCAGAAAGGAUGGAAAGAAGCAAAACGUGCAUCUCUGAUGAGUCGCAAAUCAGCUAAAUGACAUAUUUAUGUACAUUGACAAUCUGAGCCUUGCUCUGUCAGUAAAAUAAGCAUUACUUUAGGGAAACACAAAUAGACAACAGACAACUGUGUCUCAGACAUCUUUUCCUGUUGGUCUGCUCUUACUUUCACUUCAUAGAAAUGAGAUGUGGUAAAUGAUGUCUUUUUCAGACAUCAUUUUCUUUUUUAAAAAUGAACAUAAUGUCUGGCUAUAUCUUUAGACAUUAUAUAUUUAUCAAGAGGAGCAUUAAUAUGUACAUAUACAAUGUUUUUAAGAGGAAAUAUAAAGGUAAAUCUCUUCUGUGCCACAUAAAGCUUGGUUUAAUAAAAAUGUCAUAGAUGUCUACAGUGAUAAAUAUGUUGUUGAGAGAUCUGAUCAAAUAAACAGCAGUAAAACAGAAA